AUUUAAAUGUCAUUAUUAUCAAAAGUGAAAAUAAGAGAUAAGAUAAUACUUUAUUGUCAGAUCAGAAAUCUGAAAUUUGUCUUACAUAUUCAGUAGCUCCGUUACAACACAAUACAUAAACAACACAAAUAAGACACAGAUAUUUCACAAACAAACAAUCCAUGCAACAAACAUUUGCUCACAUUGCGGCCUUGAUAAUGUUGUUAUGGAUUAAGCUCCUUAUUUAAGUAUCGACUGAUGCAU